GUUUGUUUAAAAAAGAAAAGGAACGGCAGCUCUUUACCUAGCUGGUCCGCUGCUCAAUCCAAACCCCCACGCUUCAAUGAAAAUCAAAACAUGUCAGUUAUGUACAUAGGUCCAUAACAGUUUGUAACCCACAGUAAAAUGGGGGUAUUAUCCUUAAAUUAUCCAAUGCAUUGUAGUAACCAUUGUUGGAGCAGUGUUUAUUUUCAAGCUGAUUUUGGAUGAUAGUUUGUGGUUUGCAUAUCUUACAUUUCCCAUGUCUUUCAUAUCAUAAUAUAUUAUUGUAUUUUUUUUAAACUUCACUUGAGUGCUUGUUUAAUCUCUGGUUAGAACCAAACUAGAUAAACCAUACAACAUUUAAUUGUAUUUACAAUUAUUUGAAUCUGAACUCCUAUCUAUUAUUUUUCUUAUGAAUGCCUUUAGUAAACAUCAUGCAUUUCUUUGCAGUAUUUUGGUAGUGGAAUUUACUGUGCGAUCCAAAGGGGUAGGGGGCGCCAGCAAAAAUCUUGCCUAGGGCGCGAAAUUGGUCAGGGGCCGGUGUUACACCGAAUUCUGCGAACCGUCGAAAAGUGUGACCCCAGAGGGCGCUGUUGCUCAUUUUCAGCAACAUGCACGAGUUUGAAGCUAGACUCGGAAUGGGUACAUUCGUUUUGUGACACAGGGCAAUGCUUUCUUUCUUGAAAGCGUCUUACUGACUGUAGCGUCUUAUGGGGAAAGAAGCAACGGUGAUUGACCGUACUAAACACCUUAUCCAUUCUAUGGGUCUGUGAAAUGCAAAUGAAAUUAAAUGUAGCCUAUUUAUUAAGCACAUUUUAUGUUUUUGUCAUAAUGCCCACCGUUUUUAUUUGUAUGCCCACCUCUAUUAUUUUUUACUGCCGUUUAUGAAAUAAAUAUGAACUAAUGCCACAAUUAUUCAUGUCUGCGAUCAUCAAAGAGUCCACAAGCAGCAGGUCGCAAUCCCCGAUGGGUCACAAUUCAUGACAGCAGACCGUCGAAAUCUGCGACCACACUGUAAAUGCGGGGAAAAUGAGUCAAACCCCAACCAAAUGUUUUCAGGUCAUUUGUCGUCCUCAUAUCUGUAUUUGGACGCAAUUAUUUAUGUCUGCGAGAACAGGGAACGGCCCCAUUAAAGUUUUAAAUUAAUUAAUUUGCCUUGUAGAAUUCAGCAAGAUUAAAAGUGCAAAUACAUCAACAAAAUUCAUAUAAAUUGGCAACCUUGUGUGGUUGUUCAAGACACACUGAAGGCAUGAUGCCACCAUAGGUUUGCAGAGAACUACAUACAAUAUGCACACUGAAGGCAUGAUGCCACCAUAGGUUUGCAGAGAACUACAUACAAUAUGCACAGUGAAGGCAUGAUGCCACCAUAGGUUUGCAGAGAACUACAUACAAUAUGCACAGUGAAGGCAUGAUGCCACCAUAGGUUUGCAGAGAACUACAUACAAUAUGCACAGUGAAGGCAUGAUGCCACCAUAGGUUUGCAGAGAACUAUAUACAAUAUGCACACUGAAGGAAUGAUGCAGCCAUUUGCAGAGAACUAUAUACAAUAGAACUAUAUACAAUAUGCACACUUGAAAGGGGUGGGGUGGUGGUGGGGGUUGUGAGGGCCGCUGAAACCCCAGUGUCCAUCCUCACGGGAAGGGGGGGUGGUGGGGGUUGUGAGGGCCGCUGAAACCCCAGUGUCCAUCCUCACGGGAAGGGGGG
ensembl:lncRNA